rnacentral:rRNA from 1 species
GCUUAGAAGCAGCCACUCAUUAAAAGAGUGCGUAAUAGCUCACUGGUCGAGUGACUCUGCGCCGAAAAUUUAACGGGGCUAAACUAUACACCGAAGCUUGGGAUGUACCGUAAGGUAUAUGGUAGGAGAGCGUUCUGUAAGGGGCGAAGUCGUAGCGAAAGCAGCGGUGGACUUUACAGAAGUGAGAAUGCCGGAAUGAGUAGCGAGAAAUAUGUGAGAAUCAUAUUGGCCGAAAGUCUAAGGUUUUUGGAGGAAGGUUCGUCCGCUCCAAGUAAGUCGGGAGCUAAGGUGAGGCCGAAAGGCGUAGCCGAUGCACAUACGGUAGAUAUUCCGUAACCGUCGAAGAAUUAAAGCACAGGGACAUCUGAGGAAGACAUAACCCGGGCGUUGGUAGACCCGGGCGUAAGGGACCGAAAAUAAGUAGGGAAGUAUGUUGGAAUUAGGGCGAGAAAAGCUGUGUGUAAAUUCAAGAUGCCCGUACCGCAAACCGACACAGGUAGAUAGGAAGAGAAUUCUAAGGCCAACGGGAGAAGGGUUGUUAAGGAACUCGGCAAAUUGACCCCGUAACUUCGGGAGAAGGGGUGCUCCAGAGAUGGAGCCGCAGAGAAUCGGCCCAAGCAACUGUUUACCAAAAACACAGGUUUGUGCUAAAUCGAAAGAUGACGUAUACGAGCUGACGCCUGCCCGGUGCUGGAAGGUUAAAAGGAGAUGUGCAAGCAUUGAAUUGAAGCCCCAGUGAACGGCGGCCGUAACUAUAACGGUCCUAAGGUAGCGAAAUUCCUUGUCAGGUAAGUUCUGACCCGCAUGAAAGGCGUAAUGAUCUGGGCACUGUCUCAACAGCCCGCCCGGCGAAAUUGUAGUACCGGUGAAGAUGCCGGUUACCCGCGACAAGACGGAAAGACCCCAUGGAGCUUUACUGUAGCCUAAUAUUGGGUUUCGGUGUUGCAUGCACAGGAUAGAUGGGACGCUGGGAAAGAAGCGCUUUGGCGUUUCUGGAGCGGACGUUGGGAUACCAUCCUUGCGACAUUGGAAUUCUAACCUGCGCCUCUGAAUCGAGGCGGGGGACAUUGUCAGGUGGGCAGUUUGACUGGGGCGGUCGCCUCCUAAAAAGUAGCGGAGGCGUUCAAAGGUUCGUUCGAUCUGGACGGAAACCAGAUGAUUGAGUGCAAACGCAUAAACGAGCCUGACUGCGAGACUGACGGGUCGAGCAGAGACGAAAGUCGGAGUUAGUGAUCCGGUGGUAUGUGAGUGGAAAUGCCAUCGCUCAACGGAUAAAA